rnacentral:pre_miRNA from 1 species
GAAUAUCCCACUUUUGUGAUUGGUGCAAUUUUUUGUUUCAAGGCCGGAAUUGCAUAGUCACAAAAGUGAUGGUGUUU